rnacentral:rRNA from 1 species
UUGGAGGGCAAGUCUGGUGCCAGCAGCCGCGGUAAUUCCAGCUCCAAUAGCGUAUAUUAAAGUUGUUGCAGUUAAAAAGCUCGUAGCUGAACUUCGGGGUUUACUUAUCGGUCAGGCUUAAUUGUCUGUACUGGUGAGAUGAAUCUCUACCUUCUGAGGAACUUUCAUGUCAUUUAUUUGGUGUGAUGGGAAAUCAGGACUGUUACUUUGAAAAAAUUAGAGUGUUUAAAGCAGGCUAACGUCUGAAUACAUUAGCAUGGAAUAAUGAAAUAGGACGGGCUGAUUCUAUUUCGUUGGUUUCUAGGAUCACCGUAAUGAUUAAUAGGGAUAGUUGGGGGCAUUAGUAUUCAAUUGUCAGAGGUGAAAUUCUUGGAUUUAUUGAAGACUAACUACUGCGAAAGCAUUUGCCAAGGAUGUUUUCAUUAAUCAAGAACGAAAGUUAGGGGAUCGAAGACGAUCAGAUACCGUCGUAGUCUUAACCAUAAACUAUGCCGACUAGGGAUCGGACGAAGUUAAUUUUAUAAUGACGCGUUCGGCGCCUUACGGGAAAC